rnacentral:lncRNA from 1 species
GUUUACUGCAGAUCUGAACAGUUUUGAAGAUGCAAUUCCAAAAGAAAUGUUAAUUCUGAACUUGUGGCCACACCGUAUCAUUCAGCAUUUAAUUUGUGCCCAGCUCUCUGAAGGAGGUGGGCAAACCCAUCCGCUACAUGAAGCAACUGCACCCAACCAGAGUAGAAGGGAGCUUCUCUGGGACACCACCGCCACCAAGAACCGCGUGCUGUAAUGCUGAGCUAGUCCCCUGCUAUGCCACUGACCUGCUGUGAGGAGGCACACCACCUGGCUUGGAGGAUGGGUUGGGCCCCUGCUCGUGACAAAUCCCGCUUUGAUUUAUUUUCCACACCGAGGUCUGGGAAGCUUUGGCUGAAAACAGUGAAGACCCAGUGCUGCCUCCAAGCUGGGCUUGGCAGUGUAAGCAGUUAAUUUUCUUGCUGAGGGUGGAAAGAUAAAGUAGAGGUGUGUUAGAGCCAAGGGAGCCUCCUCUCCAUUUGCAGAAAAAGAGGAAGGUAAAGAUUUUUAGAGGAAGCGCUAUGAUUUUCCAGUACUUGGGGCUCAUGUUGCUAGCAAAGAUGAGAACUGGUAUGUGUUUGGGUCGAGGGUACCGCCAGUGAUGGUGUAAGACACCAAUACUGACAGUAAAUCCAGAUUGCAGUUGUUUAUGGAAAAUUUGCUGUAGUUUUCUUUAGUUCCAAGCGUGCGGCUGUAUCUGCAUGUUCUAGUGUUUAAUUUAAGGGAAUAGUUAUUUAUUGCUCCUGUACCAUUGGGUUAACAACCCAGACUAUGCAUUUGUGCUUUUAGGCAGUAUUUUAAAACACUGAUUCCUGAAAAAAUUGAGGUAAUUUUUUAUUUUUAUCUCCGGGGAGCUUGCCAAGGAGCCUUCUCGGACGGGAAGCUUCAGGGGUUGGCCGCGCUCGGUGACGCUUGCUUCGCCGUGCUUGGCGAGGGGCUCCGGGGAACCUUCUCACCACAGGGCCCGCCGUUAGGGAGCUGGGCCGCGGGAAGGCCGUUCCUGGGGACGGCGGCCGUUGCGGCCGUUGCGGCCGUUGGCGGGGCGGGCCCGGGGCGGGGCGAGGGGCGUUUCCCGGCGGGCCGCCGGCCCUGCCACCGCCGCGCCCCGCUGCCGCCCUCUCGGCCUCUACCGCGGCGGCACGGCUUCGCUGCGGCCCGGCGGCUCUGAGCUAUGAGGCUGGGCUCUGCUGUGCUUUCCCGUGGUCCCAACAGGCAGCUGAUGAAAGUCUGCGUAGAUCAUUGAGUUCAAAGGAAUUGCUGCAACCUGUUUUUGCUGAAAAUCAGCCCUGCACAUCUAGCAACGGUAAACUGGCUCUUCAGAGACCUCUGAACUGGAGAGAAGGAAAGAGCGUGGGCUUAGAGCACUUUACAGAAAGAAGGCUGAAAUUGUGUUUGGCAAGAUUCCUUCAUGCAUUUGAGGAAGAGCAAGACUGUAAUGUUUACUUUGGCAAGCACUGCUGUGGAAAGUGA